AUUCCACAAAACCGCCAUUGUCAUCAUGGCUCAUCCCCAAUGAGCCGCUGGGCACACCUCCCAGACGGGGUCAGGGACAGGGACAGGGACAGGGACAGGGGAGUUCUUUAUUUAAAUCAACAAACUCAUAUUCCUCAAGCCCCAGACCAUGGUAGGCAGCCCUCCUUUCUCUGUUCCCUCACCCCUACUCCCUAGCCACAGUGAGGGGAAUGGAAAAUGAGAAGCCACGAGGGCCUCUGCCAGGGAAGCCUACCCCAGAUGUGUGGUGAGCACGGUGCAGCAGUGGCUGGGGUAGCAACCGCCACAAGCCCCUCCCUAUAAAUUAAGUCCCUGCAGCCACAGCUGUGGGAGAACUAAAAACCGCCUUUGCAAAAUUAUGACUGAGACAGUGAAAGAGAUCUAACCUAACUGACUCCAUAUUGGUUCUACCUUUAAGCUG
rnacentral:lncRNA from 10 species